UUAUAACAUAAAUAUACAAAUAGCAUUGUCAGCUAGGUACAGACUGACUCUUUAUGCACAUCAUUACUAACCUUCAAUUAAGUCAGAACCAUCAUUUAUUGCUAAAGGAUGAAAAAUUGAAAAUUCGUGAAACUUAAACAAAAGCAAAAUCAGUAGAGUAUUCAUAUGUCCCGUGACAACCAAAAAUUGAUCUCAGCUAGAUUGAAGUCUGAUACUCUACUGUUGUUCCUUUCUCCGCAGCCUUGAGCUUCUCCUCUUCUUCUAUGUCAUCCACAUGGCCUUCAUCUCCUCCUUGAAUUGAUCCCACCGCCAGGAGUCCGUCUCGAGCGUUACCUCCAUCACCCGAGCUCCUCAUUUAUCUUUCCUUUCCUUUCUUGGUCUGCUUCCUCUUCCCCUGCACUGCUCCCAAAAACCAAUAAGCCUAACCCUAGAAAUUCAGAAGUUCAUGGAGGAGGAUAGGGGAAGACAAGGAGGAGGGUGGUCUUAUACCGCCGACAGUGGAGAGGGACGCCGGAGAAGAUCGCUGUCACUGCCGAGCU
rnacentral:lncRNA from 1 species